rnacentral:rRNA from 1 species
UACGUAGGUGGCAAGCGUUGUCCGGAUUUACUGGGCGUAAAGGGCGUGCAGGCGGUUUGUUAAGUGCAGGGUGAAAGCUCCCGGCUCAACUGGGAGAGGUCCUUGCAUACUGGCGAACUCGAGGGAGGCAGAGGAAAGUGGAAUUCCCGGUGUAGUGGUGAUAUGCGUAGAUAUCGGGAGGAACACCUGUGGCGAAGGCGGCUUUCUGGGCCUUACCUGACGCUGAGACGCGAAAGCGUGGGGGAGCAAACGGG